GACGAACGCUGGCGGCGUGCUUAACACAUGCAAGUCGAACGAAGAGCGAUGGAAGCUUGCUUCUAUCAAUCUUAGUGGCGAACGGGUGAGUAACGCGUAAUCAACCUGCCCUUCAGAGGGGGACAACAGUUGGAAACGACUGCUAAUACCGCAUACGAUCUAAUCUCGGCAUCGAGGAUAGAUGAAAGGUGGCCUCUACAUGUAAGCUAUCACUGAAGGAGGGGAUUGCGUCUGAUUAGCUAGUUGGAGGGGUAACGGCCCACCAAGGCGAUGAUCAGUAGCCGGUCUGAGAGGAUGAACGGCAACAUUGGGACUGAGACACGGCCCAGAAUCCUACGGGAGGCAGCAGUGGGGAAUCUUCCGCAAUGGAAGAAAGUCUGACGGAGCAACGCCGCGUGAGUGAUGACGGCCUUCGGGUUGUAAAGCUCUGUUAAUCGGGACGAAAGGCCUUCUUGCGAAUAGUGAGAAGGAUUGACGGUACCGGAAUAGAAAGCCACGGCUAACUACGUG
rnacentral:rRNA from 1 species